AGAGUUUGAUCAUGGCUCAGGGUGAACGCUAGCGGCAGGCUUAACACAUGCAAGUCGAGGGGUAUAGGUUUUCGGACCUAGAGACCGGCGCACGGGUGCGUAACGCGUAUGCAAUCUACCUUUUACAGAGGGAUAGCCCAGAGAAAUUUGGAUUAAUACCUCAUAGUAUUAUUGAAUGGCAUCAUUUAAUAAUUAAAGUCACAACGGUAAAAGAUGAGCAUGCGUCCCAUUAGCUAGUUGGUAAGGUAACGGCUUACCAAGGCAACGAUGGGUAGGGGUCCUGAGAGGGAGAUCCCCCACACUGGUACUGAGACACGGACCAGACUCCUACGGGAGGCAGCAGUGAGGAAUAUUGGUCAAUGGGCGCAAGCCUGAACCAGCCAUGCCGCGUGCAGGAUGAAGCAUCUAUGGUGUGUAAACUGCUUUUGUACGAGAAGAAACACUCCUUCGUGAAGGAGCUUGACGGUAUCGUAAGAAUAAGGACCGGCUAACUCCGUGCCAGCAGCCGCGGUAAUACGGAGGGUCCAAGCGUUAUCCGGAAUCAUUGGGUUUAAAGGGUCCGUAGGCGGUUUAGUAAGUCAGUGGUGAAAGCCCAUCGCUCAACGGUGGAACGGCCAUUGAUACUGCUAGACUUGAAUUAUUAGGAAGUAACUAGAAUAUGUAGUGUAGCGGUGAAAUGCUUAGAGAUUACAUGGAAUACCAAUUGCGAAGGCAGGUUACUACUAAUGGAUUGACGCUGAUGGACGAAAGCGUGGGUAGCGAACAGGAUUAGAUACCCUAGUAGUCC
rnacentral:rRNA from 1 species